CUCUUUUCUGUUCUGCUUGGGUGAUUUCCUCUAAUCUUUCGUCUAGCUCGCUGAGCCGUUCUUCUGCUUCCUCUACUCUGCUAUUGAGUCCCUCUAGUGAAUUUCUCAUUUAGAGUAUUGUAUUCUUCAUUUCUGAUUGGUUCUUUUUUAUAUCUUCCGGUUCUUUGCUGAUGUGCUCACUGUGUUCAUCCAUUCUUCUCCACAUAUCUGUGAGCAUCCUCAUUAUAUUUUGUUUGAAUUCUUUGUCAAGGAGGUCGCUGGUUUCUGUUUCACUUAGUUCUUUUUCUGGUGUUUUGUAGUGUUCCCUUGCUUGGAAAGUAUUCCUUUGCCUCCUCAUUAUGCCUCUUUCUCUGUGCUAUUUUCUUUGUACUAGGUGAGUUGGCUAUGUCUCCUGAUCUUGGAGAAGUGGCCUUAUGUAUGAGAUGCCUUAUGAGGCCCGAGAUUCUUAAUCUUAUCAAGAAGAAGAAAAUAAACUAUGAGUUUAACAGCUGACUGAGAGAUGUGGGCAAACAUUGGGUCUUUCCUUAACAACCCUUCCUAGUUAUAGAAUUAUUUUAAGAAAUCAUCCUUUAGGGUGGAUGAACGAGUGCUAAGAAAAUAUAUCUCUACCUGGUUGCCACAGGUAAUGAUCUGUGGAAUUUCUCCAAAUCCCAGGCAGAAGUCAGAAGAGUGACCAAGAGUGAAGGUUCCAGAGAAGAUGAAUGUCAGGUUAUAGAUAUGAUAGAGUCCAUCUAUGGAGACAAGACUGAAUAAAAAUGGUCAGGCUCCACUAGUAAUAUCAUAUGCAUGAGGAGGGGGAAGCAGGAGGAUGUGGCUUGAGGUGGGGUAUUUCCUUCACUCCUUCCUGUGCUCCUUCACGGCAUCAGACCUGUCUCAAUAUCUGAGGCUCUCCCAACCUCCUUCAAAUCCCUCUCCAUUUUUUUCCUCACCAGUGUUUCCCCCAAGAAAUCUCUUGCAUGUCUAAUCUUGUCUCUGCAUGUGCUUCUGAUUGUUUUGUCCACAUGUGGACCAGAGCAUUUGCGGGGGAAGUUUAUAUCCCUGGAAUCUGUGGUGACAGGAACAUGAAUACAAGUAGAAGUGGUAGAAUGCAAAUACAAAGGGGAAACUCUAGGAGCUGUUUGGUCAACUGUCUCUUCACAUUUUGACAUUCUUUUACUCCUUCAAGCCUAAAAUACUUGGACACAAUGGUUUUUACUUUGUUAUUAUUAUACAUUGUAAUGAUUUCAUUUAUCCAAAACCCAACUUCAAAUUGUGCUUCUUAAUACCUUCACAACAGGGCACACAUCUUUUAUUUACUUCAUUCCUCAAACCUUCUGUCUACAUCCAUUCACAUGAAUGCAGAUUUUGUCUUGUAAGAGACACAAGGAGUUUAAAUGAAUGGGUUGGGGCAUAUAGUAUGGUGUCUGCUCCUAUUUCAAUGUGGGGUAUUGGGUAUUAGCUUUAUAGUCAAAGAAAAGUCCGAAACUUACAGAACUAUACAAGAGAGACUUUUUUUGAGAUUUGGGGCAUAGACAGAGCUGUCUGGGGACUCAGGUGAUAAAAUUUGACACAGAAUUGGAUAGGAUGUCAUUCUCUUUUCUUCCAUAAGGAUCCCAAAAUAAUUCUGAGAACCCAAAGCAUGGAAAUGUAGAAGUUUCUGUUGUCAGCAACCUUGGCUUGGACCUUGGAAUUUCGAUGACUGACAAUGUGAAGAGUGGUACCUCUGCUUAUGGUUUUAAUGGCAGGUAGAUACCAACUAGCUGGAGACACAGUGGUCAUUCCAGUGACAAAUGGAUUCGUAGGCAUAUAUAAGGCAACCUUUUGGUGAGCCCCAGAAAAACUGAAGGGGAUUUUCGGAAAAACUAGUUUUCAUUAAUUAGUUUGUUGAGAAAUAAAAUUACUAAAAUAUAAUCUUUAGAAGUGAACAGGUCUUCAAGGAUGCUUUGGUUAAUUUUGGGAUCUUUUUCAGGAUUUUUAUAAUCCUUAUGCAGUGCACAUCUACAACCACUACUCUUGCUCAUAGAAGUAGAAUUAUCACUUUUUAGCAGGAUUAUUCUCAAAGCUAGGCAACCAGGCCCCUGCUUAGGGCCUCAUGUUUUGAGGGACUCCUCUUUACUCCUCCUCUGUAUGUCCUCCCCACAGGGUGAGGAGGCUAUAGCCCCAGGGCAUGUGCUUAUUCAGAGCCUAUGACCUCCACUUUAGACUAUAUUUGAGUUAUCCUGGAACUCCUUAUCCAAAUGGCUGGAAGCCUGCACCCAGAGUCAACAUGGUCCUCUUCUUCCUGGAUGUCCUCCCAAGGGCAGACCAUGCUACUGGUAUGUGCACCUGUAGAUACAAGAGUGACCACAGGAUGGAUAUCUGGAGAAGUGUGGAUGAAGGUUGGCUUUGUGAAAUUGGGGUGUGCCUAUGGAUACGUUUGAGGCACCAUGCAUUGCAAGAAAAACCUGAUAGUGAGAAGAGAAAGGGGGUGAGAGGGUGGGCCAUGGAACUAGGGUCUCUAGAUAUACUUUUACCUCAGGCCCUGAAAAUAUUGGGAGAAGUCCUAAACUUGGAACAAUGUCAGUGUCUUUGUCAGAGAAUUGGUGCAUGAAAUGUGGAUGAGGAUGUUCAGAGAUCAAGUCUGGCUUGAUGGAUUUCAGUGAAUUGAGAUAUAGUUGGAUUUGGAGAGAUUUUGCAGGUGGCCUUCAAGCUCCUAGGAACCAACUACUCAUGAGGGAAGAUUUUAAGUUUGCAACUUACUAGAAUUUUCCCAGCAUGUUAAUUUCCCCAUAAUUCUCCAGGAUAUAUUAGGAAGAGACUGAUACAUGGAAAGUGAUUUUAAUAUUUAUAUUUAGUCCCUGGGAUUUCUAAAAAGACCAACCCUUUUUGUGCAUGCUGGAGGAUGUUUCAAAAAUCUUUAGGUAUGAGAGUAACAUGAAAGCUCAUAGUAGCUUUUUUUUCAUAAGUGUACAGUGAUAAUGUCAUUGCUGUGAUGGCUAAUGGACUGUAAGCUUGUGUUUUAUUGGGUUUCAAAAACUCUUGGUUUUAAUUUCUAAUAUAAUAAGUAUCAAUAUAUAACCCAAAAAACAAAGUUUUUUGUGGUAUGCAAUAAUUUUUAAGAUCUAAAAGUUUGAGAAUCGCUGGGUUUCUGUUUCUCACCAUGACACUAAGAGACAAAUCACUGCUCAGAUACACCAGUGUUUUGCUAACAGCUAUAAGAAGGGGACCAACAGCCUUGUAAUUUUAGGGCUGCCCAGUAAAGUGGUGGAAUACUACUUUUCUAUUGCCACCCACCACUAAAGCCACUGUGAAAAACAAAACAAGACAAAUCAAGGCAAGUCACUAAAGUAAUUACUGCCAACUGUUGACUCUCUACUCCCAAUUUUAGUUGUCAGGAAUCAGAACAGAAGAAGGUCCUUGACCCUUACCCAGGAGACAUUUGUUGGGCAGUAUUCCUGACCCCUUGGGAAAGAGAGAGGACAGUGAGGUAAUGAUUCAGGGGUUGGAGAUGAGGCCACUGAUGUCUCAUACUGGAAAGUUGGUGCAUAUUUUUGCAAGUCCUAUCUAGUGUCCUUUGAUCUUGAAGGUAUGUGAAGGACUUCUCACCUGUGGGAAAACAAGCUACCACUAAAUACAGAGGGAGACUCUUAUUCUGAAGAGGACCCUGGUGAAUGAAUGGAAUAUUUUAGAUGGGGUGGCAGUGGAGAGUUGUGAGAAGGAACAGAGUAAAAUAAGAUAUGGAUCUGUUUGCCAUCUCAUGCUAUUCCUGGGGUGCUAUGGGUAGAAGCCAUACAAAAAAUUGGAUUCAUAGUGAGACUGUUUCUUGGGUCCCACCCCUGAAGAAGUACACAGAUAGAUCACCCGAACAAUUGUGCUCUCCUUUAGUCUCUAAAAAAAUAAUUAUUGGAAGAAACAGUGAUCUUUAUAAGGGAAUAUAAGGAUGUUUUCACAGGGAGGGAAACAAUUUUCUUUUCUGGCUUACUCUAUCUUCCUUCCAGUGUUAUCUGUUUAGCAGAUAUACUAUUUUGAAAUAAUCUGAGAUAUUUUCCAUGCCUCUUAAUUCUUGCCAUCUCAGCCUUUCAUACAUUGAAGGGAGCAGAACUCAGCCAGCAAUAACAAUACAAAAUAAUGAUAAUGACUAACAUUUACAUAGUGCUGCUUACUACAUG
ensembl:lncRNA